ACACAAACAGCCGGUAAAAAUAAAGUUUUUGCACAUAGCUUUCUUGAACUUCUGCAGUCAACUAGAUAGUUCUCUUUUGCAUCAAUCUGUCAUUAUUCGUAUGGAAAUCACACAUUUGCACACUUCUCUUUUUAUUGAUUAUCCGAUGUAUAUAAUAACAUGUAUAUUUGAUGAUGAAGACCAUGGUUAGUUGAUUUGCAACUAGAAAUCAUAUAACUACAUCUUGACAAAUAGUCAUAUUCAUACUAAUGUGCACCUAAGAAGGUGCAUUAGGCCUUAUUUGAUCUUCAUCUAGGUAAACUAGUGAAAUGUUGGAUUUCUGACACUAAUUUACAUAAUUUAGGGUUCUUUUCAUGAUAUGCAAUACACACUAAAAUGAGAAAAAAUCCAAAUAAUAAGAUACAUGUUUAAAUUGAGUGUGAGCUGAUUUGUGAGGAUUUAGAGCAAAUUGUUCUCAAUUUUUAGUAGCAUAAGUAUAUUUUCAUAAUUCAACUGAAUUUAUCCAAGAUAUAAUUUUAGAAGUUGCAGAGAACUUUGAUAAAUUUGGUAAUGCCAUACAAGAAACCCAAGAAACCCCCUUAUUCUUUUCAAUUUGCAAUUUCCCUCUAUCUUCUCCAAUGCCUUUGUACAGUCGCCUUUCCACAUCCUCGGUGUUUUUGGUCUUGAUUGCCAACCAUCACUACUUAACCUCCCCAUCUGCUGCCACCUAUCUCAGUUUGCUUGCUUCCAUCCUUUUUGUCCGAUCACCACCUUCUACAUGUCACCUCAUUAUCAAUGUCCUAAUUAUUGAUCUCUUGAAUGCUCCUAAUUUCACCAUCCCCUCUUGUUUUAUCACCUCCAUCCUACUCACAGCAUCUUCUUCAACCCCAUCUCCCUGUUCUCUGCAUUUCGGUCCUUCACCCACUAUACUCCCCUAUUACCUCUAGUCACUUCUUCCUUGUCCUUGACAUCCCAAUGCUUUGCCCCAACCCACCAACCCUGCAACAUCCCUUGCUCCUUCCUCUUCCACCUCAAACUACCUUAACCCCAUACUCAGUACCCUGAUCUUCUGCAGCCUCCACUAUCUCCUACCAUCCCCCCCUUGGCAGUCUCAUCCACUGCCUCACUCUCACUCUCCUCUACCAUUUGAUGCCAUUAGUCCAAUCAUGCCACAUCAAAAUCAGCAGGAAGGGGGUUGGGGAUAGUAUGGGUGCAAGUAGUGCAACAUACUAUGGUUAUUCUAUGACUAUCCUCUCGACAACAGCCUCACAUUAGUCUCUAUGUUUUAUUGCAGUAACAUAGGUUUUUGGACUGCAGAAUAAAAAAUGUUAUUUAAGAUAUUUGGCUUCUGGCUUAUGAGACCCAUCUAAAUUCAAAUUCAUGAUCAGCAAGCACAUGUCCAGCAUUCCCUAUUGCCCCAUCGACUUCAACCACAUCUCCCUGUUCUCUGCAUUCAGUCCUCCACCCAUUGUGCUCCAGUAUUGCCUCCAUUCACUUCUUCCUUGUCCUGAAUGUCCGAAUUCUUUGCUCCAACCCAUCACCACCCUUUUCUCCCCAAAUCCUGCAACAAGCCUUGCUCCUCCCUAUUCCACCUUUAACUACCUUAUCCCCAUUUUCUGCACCCCGAGCUUCCACAGCCCCCACCAUCUCCUACCAUCCCCCACUCCGCAAUCUCCUCCUCCUCUGCCCCUCUCUCACUUUCCUCCACCAUUUGAUGCCAUUAGUCCAAUCAUGCCACAUCAAAAUCUGUGGGAAGGGGGUUGGGGAUAGUUUGGAGUGCAAGGAGUGCAACAUACUAUGGUUAUCAUGUGGCUAUCCUCUUGACAUCAGCCUAGCAUUAAUUAAUAUAUAGCAAUAAUAUAGGGUUUUGGACUACAGAAUGAAAAAGAGAAUAUAUGUUACUUAAAAUAUUGGCUUCUGGCUCAUGAGCAAUUCAAAUUCAUGAUCAGCAAGCAUAUCUCCAGCACUCCCUAUGCAAAUCACUGGUCAUCCAUGAUCACCAUCUUAAGAUGUGGACCUCAUCCAUCUUUUCUUUUCAAAUUUGAUGGUUUGAAAAUUUCUAGGUAAUAGAUGAUCUUGAAUUUGUUUAAACCUUCUAGAAUGUUUAGUGCAUAAUUGAUCACAUACUAACAUUGUGGCAAUGGAAAAUGGGUGUUCUACAAAAGAACCAUGGGUCAUAUACCGGCGUAUUAUUGCUUAAAGAAUAAAUAGUCCUAUAUCCAGAAGUUUUAAUGCUGUGAAAUGUUGAUGCUUGGUACUGACAUUCAUAUAUGUAUGUCAGCUUAGUCAUUCAGAAAGCUAUUCUAAAGUCCAAAAUGCUGCACUUUUGUAUUGCUAUAGGUACACUGAAUGAUAGCAUAAUUGAAAAGAAAGCGGCUCUCUACCUCCUUGUUUGAUAUUUCCAAAAUCUUUAAAGCAACUCAGACAUCCCAAGAUACCUGAAAAGAAGGGCAAUUCAAAGGAACAGAAGGACUGAAUGAUGGGUCGGACACUUAUCAAUAUUCAUGAAGAUCACUGAAGAAUUAAAGAAGUAACUCUUUCUAUGUUAGUACUAGGGGCAUGUAGUUUAUUAGGGUACAGGUGAUCUAUUGUCUUGAUAGUCAAUGGGAACUGCAGGUGCUUGAGGGAUGUAGUGUUUUGUUUAGGUGUAUAAUGAUAUCUAUGAUUUUACAGUGAAAAGGGUUUGCAUCUUUCCUGUGUCUUGAUCCGAACAUUGCAGCAGGUCAUGCAUUGGAAAUUUGUUCCAGAACCAUUGGAUAUCUGAGUUGUUUAUGUUUCA